AGAGUUUGAUCCUGGCUCAGAAUCAACGCUGGCGGCGUGCCUAACACAUGCAAGUCGCACGAGAAAGGGACUUCGGUCCUGAGUACAGUGGCGCACGGGUGAGUAACACGUGAAUUAUCUACCUCCGAGUGGGGAAUAACUGAGAGAAAUCUUAGCUAAUACCGCAUAACACCUACGGGUCAAAGGAGCAAUUCGCUUUGGGAGGGGGUCGCGGCAGAUUAGCUAGUUGGCGGGGUAAUGGCCCACCAAGGCAGUGAUCUGUAUCCGGCCUGAGAGGGCGCACGGACACACUGGAACUGAAACACGGUCCAGACUCCUACGGGAGGCAGCAGUGGGGAAUUUUGCGCAAUGGGGGAAACCCUGACGCAGCAACGCCGCGUGGAGGAUGAAGUCUCUUGGGACGUAAACUCCUUUCGAUUGGGAAGAUUAUGACGGUACCAAUAGAAGAAGCCCCGGCUAACUUCGUGCCAGCAGCCGCGGUAAUACGAGGGGGGCAAGCGUUGUUCGGAAUUAUUGGGCGUAAAGGGUGCGUAGGCGGUUUGGUAAGUCUUGUGUGAAAUCUUCGGGCUCAACUCGAAGUCUGCACGAGAAACUGCCGGGCUUGAGUGUGGGAGAGGUGAGUGGAAUUUCCGGUGUAGCGGUGAAAUGCGUAGAUAUCGGAAGGAACACCUGUGGCGAAAGCGGCUCACUGGACCACAACUGACGCUGAGGCACGAAAGCUAGGGGAGCAAACAGGAUUAGAUACCCUGGUAGUCCUAGCCCUAAACGAUGAUCGCUUGGUGUGACGGGUACCCAAUCCCGCCGUGCCGCAGCUAACGCGUUAAGCGAUCCGCCUGGGGAGUACGGUCGCAAGGCUGAAACUUAAAGGAAUUGACGG
rnacentral:rRNA from 1 species